rnacentral:rRNA from 1 species
CGAAGAUUUCCGGGGCUAAAACCUACUACCGAAGCCACGGCAUCAUUUAUGAUGGGUAGGGGAGCUUUCUUUACUGGGCAGAAGCAUGACCGUAAGGACAUGUGGACUGUAAAGAAGUGAGAAUGUUGGCAUGAGUAGCGAGAUGUGGGUGAGAAUCCCACAGGCCGUAAACCCAAGGUUUCCAGGGGAAGGUUCGUCCUCCCUGGGUUAGUCGGGAC